rnacentral:rRNA from 1 species
AUGAUGAUGGGAUGGGGGCGAGAGAUCCAAGAAAAGCCGUCGACUGCAAGCACGCACGGGCUCUCCCGACGCGUCCACGGCAUUGACCCCGCCCCCUUUCCCUUUCCCGCGCCGCCACGUGCCCCCGCACGGCACCGCCCAUCGACUUCCUCUCCCCGCCACCCUUUUAGGCGCACAAGCUGCUCGAGUUUCUGCCUCCUCCGCCAUCUCCGAUUUCUCCUCUUCGUUCCUUAUUUACGAGCGCCGAGGCCUCCUGGGACCAUUGGUUCUUCUUCUUCCCUCGUCGCCGCCUGCCAUCACGGGCCGUGUUGCGCUUGCGCGUUGAAGAGGAAUCCGGCAGGCCGUCGUCCUCCUCCAUCAAUGGGGCACCGCGGGGACACCAAGCCUGUCAGUGGCGGCGGGUUCAGUGAGAACGGCAAGUUUAGCUAUGGUUAUGCGAGCAGUCUAGGGAAAAGAUCUUCCAUGGAGGACUUCCACGAGACGAGAAUCGAUGGCGUCGAUGGAGAGACCGUCGGAUUGUUCGGUGUUUUCGACGGCCAUGGUGGAGCUCGAGCCGCGGAGUUUGUCAAGCAGAACCUUUUCAGCAACUUAAUCAAGCACCCAAAGUUCUUCACCGAUACCAAGUCUGCCAUUGCUGAAACUUUCACCCAUACGGAUUCAGAGCUUCUGAAGGCCGAUACCACCCACAACCGAGAUGCAGGGUCGACGGCCUCCACGGCCAUUCUCGUUGGCGAUCGCCUGGUCGUGGCAAACGUUGGGGACUCUAGGGCGGUCAUUUGUAGAGGCGGUGAUGCUAUAGCCGUGUCAAGGGACCAUAAGCCUGAUCAGACAGAUGAGAGGCAGAGGAUAGAGGAUGCCGGAGGUUUCGUCAUGUGGGCAGGUACAUGGCGUGUAGGCGGCGUGCUUGCUGUUUCUCGGGCAUUUGGUGACAAACUGUUGAAGCAGUACGUGGUUGCCGAUCCAGAGAUCAAGGAGGAGGUGGUCGACAGCUCCCUGGAGUUCCUCAUCCUGGCGAGCGACGGGCUGUGGGACGUCGUGAGCAACGAGGAAGCCGUGGCCAUGGUGAAGCCGAUCGUGGACUCGCAGGAGGCGGCCAAGAAGCUCCUCGUGGAGGCGACCCGGAGGGGAAGCGCCGACAACAUCACCUGCGUCGUCGUCCGUUUCCUGGACCAGAAGCCCCCGGCGGCGGCCACCAACGGAUCCCCAGCCCCUGUCGCACCGGGCAAGUGA